AGGUCAGGGUGGAGCAGAGCUGUCUGUCAAACUAGAGGUCAGGGGUUAGAGGUCAGGGUGGAGCAGAGCUGUCUGUCAAACUAGAGGUCAGGGGUUAGAGGUCAGGGUGGAGCAGAGCUGUCUGUCAAACUAGAGGUCAGGGGUUAGAGGUCAGGGGUGGAGCAGAGCUGUCUGUCAAACUAGAGGUCAGGG